UUACGCUGUUAUCCCUAAGGUAAUUUAAUCUUUUAAUCACUAAAAAUGGAUCAAAUAAAUAUUAAUUUAUAAACAAUAAAUAAAAGAGUUCAUCAUAUCUUUACAUCACCCCAACAAAAUAAUUUAAUACAAUUAUUAAAUCAUCAAAAAUUAACAAUCAAAUAAAUUAUUAAAUUCUAUAGGGUCUUCUCGUCCCAAAAAAAAAUUUGAGCUUUUUAACACAACAAUUAAAUUCAAAUUAAUAAAUUUAAGAAAGUUAUUAUCUCGUCCAACCAUUCAUUCCAGCCCUUAAUUAAAAGACUAAUGAUUAUGCUACCUUUGCACGGUCAAUAUACCGCGGCUAUUUAAAAUCCAUUGAGCAGGUUAUAUUUCAUAUUCAAAUACAAGAAAAGAUGUUUUUGUUAAACAGGCG
rnacentral:rRNA from 1 species